UUCCCCAGAAGUUGACCGUCCUCAUAGCGAAAGCUAGGUAGAAUAAGGUGUACUCGUAGUAGAGUGCUUGGUAAAGUGAGACCUGGGCAAGUCAAGAGUA
rnacentral:sRNA from 1 species